rnacentral:RNase_P_RNA from 1 species
GCAAGUAAGCAGGUGACCGCUCCAUAUUUUUGGAGAGGAAAGUCCGAACAGCUUGAGUACAGGAUGGUUGCUAACGGCAACCCGGGGUAACCCGAGGGAAAGUGCCACAGAGACAAUACCGCCAGAUGCAUGUCUGGCAAUGGUGAAAAGAGGGCGGUAAGAGCGCCCAGCUUGUAUCGGUGACGAUACAAGGAGGUAAACCCCAUCCGCUGCAAGGCUUAUGGAUCCCGAUUUUAUCAAAGUGUACUCACUUUUCUCGGCUCGAGAGGGAUAUGUCGCAUGAUUGCGGGAGAACUGCAACACUGUAUUUUUUACAAGAGAUAGAUGGUCAUCACCCUAUAAGAUAGGCUUAUAGGGGACAGAAUUCGGCUUAUCGCUUGCUUGUCCGC